rnacentral:rRNA from 1 species
UGGGGAAUAUUGGACAAUGGGGGGAACCCUGAUCCAGCCAUGCCGCGUGUGUGAAGAAGGCCUUAUGGUUGUAAAGCACUUUAAGCGAGGAGGAGGCUCUCUUGGUUAAUACCCAAGAUGAGUGGACGUUACUCGCAGAAUAAGCACCGGCUAACUCUGUGCCAGCAGCCGCGGUAAUACAGAGGGUGCGAGCGUUAAUCGGAUUUACUGGGCGUAAAGCGUGCGUAGGCGGCUUUUUAAGUCGGAUGUGAAAUCCCCGAGCUUAACUUGGGAAUUGCACUCGAUACUGGGAAGCUAGAGUAUGGGAGAGGAUGUUAGAAUUCCAGGUGUAGCGGUGAAAUGCGUAGAGAUCUGGAGGAAUACCGAUGGCGAAGGCAGCCAUCUGGCCUAAUACUGACGCUGAGGUACGAAAGCAUGGGGAGCAAGCAGG